rnacentral:tRNA from 1 species
AAUUUAAUAGUUUAUAUAAAAUUUAAAAUUGCAAAUUUUAAGAAAUUAAAAGAUUUAAAUUU